rnacentral:rRNA from 1 species
ACGCAGUAAACGAUGAAUACUAGCUGUUGGCGAUAUAAUGUCAGCGGUAAAGCGAAAGUGUUAAGUAUUCCACCUGGGGAGUACGCCGGCAACGGUGAAACUCAAAGGAAUUGACGGGGGCCCGCACAAGCGGAGGAACAUGUGGUUUAAUUCGAUGAUACGCGAGGAACCUUACCCGGGCUUGAAAGUUAGUGAAUGACUUGGAAACAGGUCAGUCCUUCGGGACACGAAACUAGGUGCUGCAUGGUUGUCGUCAGCUCGUGCCGUGAGGUGUCGGCUUAAGUGCCAUAACGAGCGCAACCCUUGUUGUUAGUUGCCAUCAGGUAAUGCUGGGAACUCUAACAAGACUGCUACUGUAAGGUAGAGGAAGGUGGGGAUGACGUCAAAUCAGCACGGCCCUUACGUCCGGGGCGACACACGUGUUACAAUGGUCGGUACAGAGGGUUGCUACCUGGCGACAGGAUGCUAAUCUCAUAAAACCGAUCUCAGUUCGGAUCGGAGUCUGCAACUCGACUCCGUGAAGCUGGAUUCGCUAGUAAUCGCGCAUCAGC